UCCUGGUUCAAUCCUGUGAGAAACUUAAUUAGUCUCUUGCUGCUGGAGAAUUCUCUGAAUUGGUCUACACCCUUGUCGCAGCAAGUCGUAGAUGAGAUAUGGAUCUGCCUUACUGUUGUAUGUUAUCGCAAGGCUAUCCCACAACGCCUUUGAUGUUUGGUGGUGUGCGAAAUCGGCGAUGAUAUCGUCUUCGAUGUUAUCGAUGAUCCAUGAGAAAACGACUAGAUCGUCUUCCUCCCAGUCGUCAUACUCCUUGCUUCCGGGUUCGGGAGGUUCCUUCCUGAUGUACAAGUAGGCCCCUCGGCCUCCUAUUUUGACCUUCAUCAAUCUUGACCAGAUUGGGUAGUUUUUUCCGUUCAACUUGAACGCAACGGAUUUGGUUUAUGUGGUUGAUUUGGCUAUAUGGGUCGAGAAUUGGUAUAUUGUGGCUAUGAUGAUUUUGUUCUGAGCCAAGAUCGUUCCUGCUCUGAGGCCAUGUUAAGAGGA